rnacentral:misc_RNA from 1 species
GAUGAAGAACGUAGCGAAAUGCGAUAAGUAAUGUGAAUUGCAGAAUUCAGUGAAUCAUCGAAUCUUUGAACGCACAUUGCGCCCGCCAGUAUUCUGGCGGGCAUGCCUGUUCGAGCGUCAUUUCAACCCUCAAGCCCCCGGGCUUGGUGUUGGGGAUCGGCGUGCCCUCGCGGCGCGCCGUCCCCUAAAUCUAGUGGCGGUCUCGCUGUAGCUUCCUCUGCGUAGUAGCAACACUCGCACUGGAUCGCAGCGCGGCCACGCCGUUAAACCCCCCACUUCUGAAAGUUUGACCUCGGAUCAGGUAGGAAUACCGGCUGAACUUAAGCAUAUCAAUAAGCGGAGGA